rnacentral:rRNA from 1 species
UCAAACCUACGGGGCGCAGCAGUGAGGAAUAUUGGUCAAUGGUCGGGAGACUGAACCAGCCAAGCCGCGUGAGGGAGGAAGGUACAGAGUAUCGUAAACCUCUUUUGUCAGGGAACAAAGGCGGGGACGUGUCCCCGGAUGAGUGUACCUGAAGAAAAAGCAUUGGCUAACUCCGUGCCAGCAGCCGCGGUAAUACGGAGGAUGCGAGCGUUAUCCGAAUUUAUUGGGUUUAAAGGGUGCGCAGGCGGUCUGUUAAGUCAGCGGUCAAAGCCCGGGGCUCAACCCC